rnacentral:rRNA from 1 species
CCUACGGGAGGCAGCAGUGAGGAAUAUUGGUCAAUGGACGCAAGUCUGAACCAGCCAUGCCGCGUGUAGGAAGAAGGCCCUAUGAGUUGUAAACUGCUUUUGUACGAGGGUAAAUCCCGAUACGUGUAUCGGGUGGAAAGUAUCUUACGAAUAAGGAUCGGCUAACUCCGUGCCAGGAGCCCGGGUAAUACGGAGGAUUCAAGCGUUAACCGGAUUGAUUGGGUUUAAAGGGAGCGUAGGCGGUUCGAUAAGUUAGAGGUGAAAUCCCGGGGCUCAACUCCGGCACUGCCUCUGAUACUGUCGGGCUAGAGUUUAGUAGAGGUAGGCAGAAUGUAUGGUGUAGCGGUGAAAUGCAUAGAGAUCAUACAGAACACCGAUUGCGAAGGCAGCUUACCAAACGACGACUGACGUUGAGGCACGAAAGCGUGGGGAGCAAACAGGAUUAGAUACCCGAGUAGUC